UACAGAGGGGCUAGCGUUGCUCGGAAUCACUGGGCGUAAAGCGCACGUAGGCGGUAUUGCUAAGUCAGGGUGAAAUCCUGGAGCUCAACUCCAGAACUGCCUUUGAUACUGGCGAUCUUGAGUCCGGGAGAGGUCGAGUGGAACUGCGAGUGUAGAGGUGAAAUUCGUAGAUAUUCGCAAGAACACCAGUGGCGAAGGCGGCUCA
rnacentral:rRNA from 1 species